rnacentral:rRNA from 1 species
UUCGAUGCAACGCGAAGAACUACCUGGUCUUGACAUCCCGGAGACCCUUAGGAAACUAGGGGUGCUUCCAUCUGGAAGAAUCUGGAGACAGGUGCUGCAUGGCUGUCGUCAGCUCGUGUCGUGAGAUGUUGGGUUAAGUCCCGCAACGAGCGCAACCCUUGCCUUUAGUUGCCAGCAGUUCGGCUGGGCACUCUAAAGGGACUGCCGGUAUUAAACCGGAGGAAGGUGGGGAUGACGUCAAGUCCUCAUGGCCUUUAUGACCAGGGCUACACACGUACUACAAUGGCCGAUACAAAGGGCAGCGACACUGCGAGGUGAAGCCAAUCCCGUAAAAUCGGUCUCAGUCCGGAUUGGAGUCUGCAACUCGACUCCAUGAAGUUGGAAUCGCUAGUAAUCGUGGAUCAGCAUGCCACGGUGAAUACGUUCCCGGGCCUU